rnacentral:rRNA from 1 species
GCAUAACGCGAAGAACCUUACCAAGGCUUGACAUACACGAGAACACCGUAGAAAUACGGGACUCUUUGGACACUCGUGAACAGGUGGUGCAUGGUUGUCGUCAGCUCGUGUCGUGAGAUGUUGGGUUAAGUCCCGCAACGAGCGCAACCCUCGUUCUAUGUUGCCAGCACGUUAUGGUGGGAACUCAUGGGAUACUGCCGGGGUCGAACUCGGAGGAAGGUGGGGAUGACGUCAAAUCAUCAUGCCCCUUAUGUCUUGGGCUUCACGCAUGCUACAAUGGCCGGUACAAUGGGCUGCAAUACCGUGAGGUGGAGCGAAUCCCAAAAAGCCGGUCCCAGUUCGGAUUGAGGUCUGCAACUCGACCUCAUGAAGUCGGAGUCGCUAGUAAUCGCAGAUCAGCAACGCUGCGGUGAAUACGUUCCCGGGUCUUGUACACACCG